AACCAAUAAUUGUGCGCACUGACACUCUCUCUCUAGCCUGCGCAUGGCAUCUCUCCCUGUACCUAAACUCUUGCAUCGGUGAAACCGUCUCUCUCUCCCCCGUGAGCUUGCUCCCACCCUCUCCAAAUCCCGUGAGCCUCCUCCCAUUGUCUCUCUCUCUCCGGUGAGCCUCCUCGUCUCUCUCUCUACUGUGAGCUUCAUCUCUCACUCUCCCCCCCUCCCCCCGAGACCAACAAUCAGCCUCUUCUCUCAGCAACCCUAAAUCCCCAAAUUCAGCAACCCUAAAUCCCUAAAAUGAGCAACCCUAGAUUCCGUGGACUUUGGAAUCUCUCUCACUGGAAGCCUCCUCCAUUCUCAGCAACUCUAAAUAAAAAAUAGUGGUUUCAAUCAACCAUUCAUAGCAAGGGAAGAUUAGCACCUAAGAUGGACCUCACCCUUUCAACAAAUGUGGCAUCUCCCUUAUUGUCAGAGAAUGACAACAUGGGGGAUACUGUAGAGUUCAUGGAGCAAGAUCCCUUGCUAGCAACCCCUCCCCCCAAUAAGUUUACAAAUCUUGAAAACGGGGAACAUGCGUUGUCGUCCAAGGGGUCUGAAAUAGAGGAACCCAGUGUAGGAAUGAAAUUCAAUGAUGAAAAUGAUGCAUAUGAAUUUUACAAGGCUUUUGCAUUGGGGGAAGGGUUUGGUGUCAGAAAGGGAAGUACUCAAACGAAUAAGGACGGAAAGAGAAUUGAUCGGGAAUAAAGGGGAGACCUACCAAUGAUAUAUAUGUAUCUCGGGCUGAGAUAGAGGCAGAGAAAACGAAAGCGAGAGUGAAGGAAGUUACCCAAUAGUGCGCAGUUUGCAAGGGAGUGGACAUAACAAAAGGAAUUGUCCAUCUCUUGUAUGUUCAAAGUUAAACGUAAAUAUCAGAUGCACGGAUGGGUCGUGUGAGAAUGUGGAACAUGCUGAGUAAUGUUGCAGACACCGAUUGAUGGAGGACUUCACAUUUCACUUGAUGUUCCAAGUAAGAAAACAAUGCUUGCACUACCUUCUGUCGAUGAAUUUACCUUGUUUCAUGGUUAAUUAUUUGUAAACUUAAUACGCCUUUUGGAGGGUGUUCCUUUUGGAGCCAUUUGACAUGUUUUUCUCUUAUGGGACCAUGUGUCUUUUACUUUUUAUGGAUGUCUUCGAACUUUGCCAUUUGACAUGUUUUUCUCUUAUGGGACCAUGUAUCUUUUACUUUUUGUGGUGUGUUUAUUGUUUGUAUUGAUUUCUUAUCUUGGGGCUGUCUCGUUAUCUUGGGAUAGUACCUGAUUGGGUUUGGUAUUUAUGACAUGUUUUGUAUGAUA